GGAGGUGGAUGGGGCCCGGUGGCCCUUGCGGUCUUCAAAACCGUUGUGCCGUCGCAAGGCGGCGGGUAGGUUCGACUCCUAUCCACCUCCGCCA
rnacentral:tRNA from 1 species